UGUCGAUGAAGAGCGCAGCCAACUGUGUGAAUUACUGUGAACUGCAUACUGCUUUGAACAUCGACAUCUUGAACGCAUAUUGCGGCCAUGGGUUAGCCUGUGGCCACGCCUGUCCGAGGGUCG
rnacentral:rRNA from 2 species